AUGCAAUCAGAGUUCUCCAGAGUGGUAAAUCUGAACACGCAGAGAAUCUGGAAAGCGAAAGCUGGGUUUUUCCAGGGCAAUGCAAACUGCAUGGCCCGUUCCCUCCAGACCACUUGUUUGUGGCUGCACAGACCUCUGGUUACGCCGAGUGAAACAGAAGGAGAAAAGACUGACACCAUGAACGACCGUGCGAGAGAAGCGGCUUUAUUGUCCUUGGCAGCAUCUGAAGGAGGCUUGCAAACCGAAUUCGCCAUGCAGGGUUUUCAAACAACUUAUGAGGAAAGAGAUGGGAGGAAAAUCCUUCGAAUGAGACGUGGGCUGGGACAGCGAGUGAGCUCUUCCAAUGUCUGCCUACACGGGGGAGAAGCUAGAUGGUUCCUGUAUAUGAGACUGCUUCCACCGGAAAUACUGGCACAGACACUUGGGGUUUGUCUUGUACAUGGCAUUCCAAGAGGUGGUAAUGCAGGAUCCUAUUUUAUAUACUUUUGAACUAUUAUUUUGACAUAUAAAAUAUGCAUAGAGCGCCGGCCCGGUGGCAUAGUGGUUAAGUUCGCUCGCUCCACUUCAGUGGCCCAGGGUUCCCAGGUUCAGAUCCCGGGCAUGGACAUACACAUUGCUCAUCAAGCCAUGCUGUGGUGGCAUCCCACAUACAAAAUAGAGGAAGACUGACACAGAUGUUAGUUAAGUGACAAUCUCCCACAAUCAAAAAAAAAAAAAGAAGAAGAAGAUUGGCAACAGAUUUUAGCUCAGGGCCAAUCUUUCUCACCAAAAAUAAAAAAAAAGCUGAAAAGAAUUCA
rnacentral:lncRNA from 1 species